CAUUCUUCCAGUGACAUCAACCUCAUCGCCAUCAUAACUAGAUACGUAGGUAACCUCUCCAGAGAUGUGACAGAAGUCCUUAUCCUUCAGUUAUUCAGUCAGAUCGGACCCUGUAAAAGCUGUAAAAUGAUAACAGAGCAUACAAGCAAUGACCCAUAUUGCUUUGUGGAAUUUUAUGAACACAGAGAUGCAGCUGCUGCAUUAGCUGCUAUGAAUGGGAGAAAAAUUUUGGGAAAGGAGGUCAAAGUAAACUGGGCAACAACACCAAGUAGCCAGAAAAAAGACACUUCCAAUCACUUCCAUGUGUUUGUUGGGGAUUUGAGUCCAGAAAUUACAACAGAAGAUAUCAAGUCAGCAUUUGCCCCCUUUGGUAAAAUAUCGUAAGUAUCAUAAUUAGUAUCAGACUCAGUAGUGAUAGGCAAAACUGUAUUAACAUGUAUUAGGAUCAAGGUUUUCUUUCUCUAGUUAGUGUGUUUUUCUUUGGUCUUUACUUUUCUUCUUUUGAUUUGUUUUGUUUUUUGAGUAGAUGUUGUUGCAAAUGUUGAUGUCAUUUCAAUGUUUGGGGUCUUGUUUUCAGAUAACCUUGUGUAUGAUAUGUUUAAAAUUUUUAAGUGAUUCUGUUUGUUACAUUUAAAGCAAAUAUUUAGAUGGUAAAACUUCUAGCUCUCUGUCAAAUGUUUUCAAAUAAUGAUGAUUAGAGUAUUGGGUUAAUGAAAACUAAAUGUGAUCUUUAUUGUGUAUUAAACUUUAAUCGAAGGAGUUUUUAAGGGAGGGGGAAUCUAGACAAAUCCUUGUAUUUAUGGUUAAAUUGGAAAUGUCCAUGUUUAAAUAUAAUGAUAAGUGUAUUUUGAUAUUUAGCUUUGAGAAAAC
rnacentral:lncRNA from 1 species